GGGUUGUGAGGUUAAGCGACUAAGCGUACACGGUGGAUGCCCUGGCAGUCAGAGGCGAUGAAGGGCGUGCUAAUCUGCGAUAAGCGCCGGUAAGGUGAUAUGAACCGUUAUAACCGGCGAUACCCGAAUGGGGAAACCCAGUGUGAUUCGUCACACUAUCAUUAACUGAAUCCAUAGGUUAAUGAGGCGAACCGGGGGAACUGAAACAUCUAAGUACCCCGAGGAAAAGAAAUCAACCGAGAUUCCCCCAGUAGCGGCGAGCGAACGGGGAGGAGCCCAGAGCCUGAAUCAGCAUGUGUGUUAGUGGAAGCGUCUGGAAAGGCGCGCGAUACAGGGUGACAGCCCCGUACACAAAAGCGUAUGUGCUGUGAGCUCGAUGAGUAGGGCGGGACACGUGGUAUCCUGUCUGAAUAUGGGGGGACCAUCCUCCAAGGCUAAAUACUCCUGACUGACCGAUAGUGAACCAGUACCGUGAGGGAAAGGCGAAAAGAACCCCGGCGAGGGGAGUGAAAAAGAACCUGAAACCGUGUACGUACAAGCAGUGGGAGCACCCUUUGGGGUGUGACUGCGUACCUUUUGUAUAAUGGGUCAGCGACUUAUAUUCUGUAGCAAGGUUAACCGAAUAGGGGAGCCGGAGGGAAACCGAGUCUUAAUUGGGCGUUAAGUU
rnacentral:rRNA from 2 species